ensembl:lncRNA
AUAUCCUGUGGGUAUGUUCUCCACGCUGCAAACUCGCUCUUUAUGCCUCUUUGUUUGGGAGGCGUGUUGUUGUGUUCUGAUGUGGACCGACGGAUUCACAUUAAACUUCUAGAACAGAUCAUGACAGUGUUAAAAACAGGGGAAACUCAACGCUGGAAACUUUCAGAACGACACACUUGUGUUCAAGCAGCAUGACAGUAAAAGAGCGGAGCGAGUCAGAGAGGUAAAUGCUGACGGCUGGAGAUUUCUCGUCUCUCUGCUUUAACUGGCUAAGGUCAGUAAUUUCUCUCUCACAGAUUUCUGUCUAUAUGAGAAACAGUCUGUAGAAGAAUAUUCGAACGACUCCCACUUAUUUUGCUGCAGGUCUUUUUUGUUGGUAUAAAAAUAUGCAUGAGAGGGAGAGAAAGAGAAAUGCUGACCAUUUUUCCCGGCCUCUCCAGUCGUCAAAAAACAGACGUGCGGAGGAACCCGACAGCCAUGAAAUAAAUUAAUGCAAUGUGCCA